CACGGUUGCUCCCAAGGAGCUUUGUCUCGUGCCCGCUGGAGCCCUCAUAAUUAAGACAGAAAAAAAAACGAAGCCAAGACGGAGAACUGGGAGGCACUGGAAAACUGCAAAGCAAGCAAGUGCCGGCAAAACAAAGCCCCUUCGUGCUACCACAGCAACCGUAAUUGCAACCCCUUAUUAGGCUGUACACACCGAAUCCACCCACGUCUCCUAGCUGAUUCUUUUUCAGAUGCUGCUGAGUUGUAAAACCUGAGCAAGCCUUGCCACACACUCCCAGUCACUGCUACCCUGCUGGAUUAGAAGAUGAAAUGUGCUGCUCAUUGAUGGAUGCCAAUGGAGAAUGAAUCAUAUUAAACAAGAAGAACUUGCAAUACAGAAGAAGGGGACCGUGUGCAUUAAGCAUUUGAUCAUGUAAUCAUUGGAGUCCAGCCGUUAAAGAACCAUGAAGAUAUUGACGAGCUCUGAAUAUAUUCUCCAAAUCUUCUUUGAAAUGAAAAUCUGCUUACUUGACAGAACAUCUCUUGGUGACGUUUUCUGAUAAAUAAGAAUAUACUGAGCUG